UACGGAGGGUGCGAGCGUUGUCCGGAAUCAUUGGGCGUAAAGGGCGCGUAGGUGGCGGGACAAGCGUGCGGUGAAAGCCUGGGGCUCAACCCCGGAACGGCAUCCGAUACUGGCGGGCUUGAGACCGGGAGAGGAGGGUGGAAUACCCAGUGUAGAGGUGAAAUUCGUAGAUAUUGGGUGGAACACCGGUGGCGAAAGCGGCUCUCUGGCCCGGAUCUGACGCUGAGGUGCGAAAGCGUGGGGAGCAAACAGG
rnacentral:rRNA from 1 species